UACAGAGGGUGCGAGCGUUGUCCGGAAUCACUGGGCGUAAAGGGCGCGUAGGCGGCCCCUUAAGCGUGUGGUGAAAGCGCGGGGCUCAACCCCGCGUCGGCCAUGCGGACUGGGGGGCUGGAGCAGACCAGAGGCAGGCGGAAUUCCGGGUGUAGCGGUGGAAUGCGUAGAGAUCCGGAAGAACACCGGUGGCGAAGGCGGCCUGCUGGGGUCUGGCUGGACGCUGAGG
rnacentral:rRNA from 1 species